rnacentral:rRNA from 1 species
UACGAAGGGGGCUAGCGUUGCUCGGAAUUACUGGGCGUAAAGGGCGCGUAGGCGGAUAUCUAAGUUGGGGGUGAAAUCCCGGGGCUCAACCUCGGAAUUGCCUUCAAAACUGGAUAUCUUGAGUUCGGGAGAGGUGAGUGGAACUCCGAGUGUAGAGGUGAAAUUCGUAGAUAUUCGGAAGAACACCAGUGGCGAAGGCGACUCACUGGCCCGAUACUGACGCUGAGGCGCGAAAGCGUGGGGAGCAAAAAGG